GAUGAACGCUAGCGGCAGGCCUAACACAUGCAAGUCGAGGGAGAAGCCCUUUCGGGGGCAGAAACCGGCGCACGGGUGCGUAACGCGUAUGCAACCUACCUUUCACAGGGGGAUAGCCCGAAGAAAUUUGGAUUAAUACCCCAUAAUAUUAUUGGAUGGCAUCAUUUGAUAAUUAAAACUGCGGUGGUGAAAGAUGGGCAUGCGUCCUAUUAGCUAGUUGGAGUGGUAACGGCACCCCAAGGCUACGAUAGGUAGGGGUCCUGAGAGGGAGAUCCCCCACACUGGUACUGAGACAGGGACCAGACUCCUACGGGAGGCAGCAGUGAGGAAUAUUGGUCAAUGGUCGGAAGACUGAACCAGCCAUGCCGCGUGCAGGAAGAAUGCCUUAUGGGUUGUAAACUGCUUUUAUAUGGGAAGAAUAAGGCGUACGAG
rnacentral:rRNA from 1 species